AUGGAUAUCACCAGCAACAGAAUACUGAGCAUCAUCAGAAUUAUCUUGGCUAGACAACGUCCUGAGAGGAUUCGUUAUGAGAAUAGUGUCAAUCAUAGCUUUAAGACCUUGCUUUGGAAGGAACUGAUGAGAAAGCAGAUUGGAAGUUUCAGGUAUGGAUGUCCUGUGUGCGGUAAAAAUACCAUCAGAACCAAGAAAGGAAAAAAUCAGGAAGUAACAUAGGGCCAGGAAGAAGGGAACCCCCUGAGUCAAGCUAAGCACAACCAAUAAUAAAGACAAAGAGUAUUGUUAUUUUUAUUAUUAA
rnacentral:lncRNA from 1 species